UACGUAGGGUGCGAGCGUUGUCCGGAAUUACUGGGCGUAAAGAGCUCGUAGGUGGUUUGUCGCGUUGUCCGUGAAAACUCACAACUCAAUUGUGGGCGUGCGGGCGAUACGGGCAGACUGGAGUACUGCAGGGGAGACUGGAAUUCCUGGUGUAGCGGUGGAAUGCGCAGAUAUCAGGAGGAACACCGGUGGCGAAGGCGGCUCUCUGGACCGAGACUGACGCUGAGGCGCGAAAGCGUGGGGAGCAAACAGG
rnacentral:rRNA from 1 species